UUCGCCCUUCGGUUGAUCCUGCCGGACCUGACUGCUAUCGGAUUGAUACUAAGCCAUGCGAGUCAUUGUAGCAAUACAAGGCAUACGGCUCAGUAACGCGUAUUCAACCUAACCUAUGGACGGGAAUAACCUCGGGAAACUGAGAAUAAUGCCCGAUAGAACACUAUACCUGGAAUGGUUUGUGUUCCAAAUGAUUUAUCGCCGUAGGAUGGGACUGCGGCCUAUCAGUUUGUUGGUGAGGUAAUGGCCCACCAAGACUAUUACAGGUACGGGCUCUGAGAGGAGUAGCCCGGAGAUGGGUACUGAGACACGGACCCAGGCCCUAUGGGGCGCAGCAGGCGAGAAAACUUUGCAAUGUGCGAAAGCACGACAAGGUUAAUCCGAGUGAUUUGUGCUAAACGAAUCUUUUGUUAGUCCUAGAACCACUAACGAAUAAGGGGUGGGCAAGUUCUGGUGUCAGCCGCCGCGGUAAAACCAGCACCUCAAGUGGUCAGGAUGAUUAUUGGGCCUAAAGCAUCCGUAGCCGGCUCUGUAAGUUUUCGGUUAAAUCUGUACGCUUAACGUACAGGCUGCCGGGAAUACUGCAGAGCUAGGGAGUGGGAGAGGUAGACGGUACUCGGUAGGAAGGGGUAAAAUCCUUUGAUCUAUUGAUGACCACCUGUGGCGAAGGCGGUCUACCAGAACACGUCCGACGGUGAGGGAUGAAAGCUGGGGGAGCAAACCGGAUUAGAUACCCGGGUAGUCCCAGCUGUAAACUAUG
rnacentral:rRNA from 1 species